CCUACGGGAGGCAGCAGUGAGGAAUAUUGGUCAAUGGACGAGAGUCUGAACCAGCCAAGUCGCGUGAAGGAUGACUGCCCUAUGGGUUGUAAACUUCUUUUAUAUGGGAAUAAAAUGUUCCACGUGUGGGAUUUUGUAUGUACCAUAUGAAUAAGGAUCGGCUAACUCCGUGCCAGCCGCCGCGGUAAUACGGAGGAUCCGAGCGUUAUCCGGAUUUAUUGGGUUUAAAGGGAGCGUAGGUGGAUUGUUAAGUCAGUUGUGAAAGUUUGCGGCUCAACCGUAAAAUUGCAGUUGAAACUGGCAGUCUUGAGUACAGUAGAGGUGGGCGGAAUGCGUGGUGUAGCGGUGAAAUGCUUAGAUAUCACGAAGAACUCCGAUUGCGAAGGCAGCUCACUGGACUGCAACUGACACUGAGGCUCGAAAGUGUGGGUAUCAAACAGGAUUAGAUACCCCUGUAGUC
rnacentral:rRNA from 1 species